AAAUUGAAGAGUUUGAUCAUGGCUCAGAUUGAACGCUGGCGGCAGGCCUAACACAUGCAAGUCGAACGGUAACAGGAAGCAGCUUGCUGCUUCGCUGACGAGUGGCGGACGGGUGAGUAAUGUCUGGGAAACUGCCUGAUGGAGGGGGAUAACUACUGGAAACGGUAGCUAAUACCGCAUAACGUCGCAAGACCAAAGAGGGGGACCUUCGGGCCUCUUGCCAUCGGAUGUGCCCAGAUGGGAUUAGCUUGUUGGUGGGGUAACGGCUCACCAAGGCGACGAUCCCUAGCUGGUCUGAGAGGAUGACCAGCCACACUGGAACUGAGACACGGUCCAGACUCCUACGGGAGGCAGCAGUGGGGAAUAUUGCACAAUGGGCGCAAGCCUGAUGCAGCCAUGC
rnacentral:rRNA from 2 species